CAAAGUCUAUCUGCUAUCGCGGCCUAUGACAAAGAUAUCGAGCUGACUCCUGCUCAUCGACUCGGAUGACCUCGUUCCUGAGUUCACCUUGAGCCCCACUCGUGCCAUGGCUGAACGUGUUGCUACCUUCGCGCUCCUCUGCUGAUGGCACCGUCCAGGCACACGGGACAUCGCUGCUAAUCCUGCCCUACUGUUGCUUCCCAAAGUCUAUCUGCUAUCGCGGCCUAUGACAAGGAUAUCGAGCUGACUCCUGCUCAUCGACUCUGAUGACCUCGUUCCUGAGCUCACCUUGAGCCCCACUCGUGCCAUGGCUGAACGUGUUGCUACCUUCGCGCUCCUCUGCUGAUGGCACCGUCCAGGCACACGGGACAUCGCUGCUAAUCCUGCCCUACUGUUGCUUCCCAAAGUCUAUCUGCUAUCGCGGCCUAUGACAAGGAUAUCGAGCUGACUCCUGCUCAUCGACUCUGAUGACCUCGUUCCUGAGUUCACCUUGAUCCCCACUCGUCCCAUGGCUGAACGUGUUGCUACCUUUGCGCUCCUCUGAUGAUGGCACCGUGCAGGCACACGGAAGAUAACCCUCCUGGCAUUUCCACAAGAGCGACUACGUCCCACCUGAUCCUGCUACCGG